rnacentral:rRNA from 1 species
ACGGAAGGCAGCAGUGGGGAAUAUUGGGCAAUGGGCGAAAGCCUGACCCAGCAACGCCGCGUGAAGGAAGAAGGUCUUCGGAUUGUAAACUUCUUUUAUGAGGGACGAAGGACGUGACGGUACCUCAUGAGUAAGCCACGGCUAACUACGUGCCAGCAGCCGCGGUAAUACGUAGGUGGCAAGCGUUAUCCGGAUUUACUGGGUGUAAAGGGCGCGUAGGCGGGAAGGCAAGUCAGAUGUGAAAUCCAUGGGCUCAACCCAUGAACUGCAUUUGAAACUGUUUUUCUUGAGUGCUGGAGAGGUAGACGGAAUUCCUUGUGUAGCGGUGAAAUGCGUAGAUAUAAGGAAGAACACCAGUGGCGAAGGCGGUCUACUGGACAGUAACUGACGCUGAGGCACGAAAGCGUGGGGAGCAAACAGGAUUAGAUACCCUGGUA